ACGGGUGAGUAACGCGUGGGAACGUACCUUUUGGUUCGGAACAACACAGGGAAACUUGUGCUAAUACCGGAUAAGCCCUUACGGGGAAAGAUUUAUCGCCGAAAGAUCGGCCCGCGUCUGAUUAGCUAGUUGGUGAGGUAAUGGCUCACCAAGGCGACGAUCAGUAGCUGGUCUGAGAGGAUGAUCAGCCACAUUGGGACUGAGACACGGCCCAAACUCCUACGGGAGGCAGCAGUGGGGAAUAUUGGACAAUGGGCGCAAGCCUGAUCCAGCCAUGCCGCGUGAGUGAUGAAGGCCCUAGGGUUGUAAAGCUCUUUUGUGCGGGAAGAUAAUGACGGUACCGCAAGAAUAAGCCCCGGCUAACUUCGUGCUAGCAGCCGCGGUAAUACGAAGGGGGCUAGCGUUGCUCGGAAUCACUGGGCGUAAAGGGUGCGUAGGCGGGUCUUUAAGUCAGGGGUGAAAUCCUGGAGCUCAACUCCAGAACUGCCUUUGAUACUGAAGAUCUUGAGUUCGGGAGAGGUGAGUGGAACUGCGAGUGUAGAGGUGAAAUUCGUAGA
rnacentral:rRNA from 1 species